rnacentral:rRNA from 1 species
GACGAACGCUGGCGGCGGGCUUAACACAUGCAAGUCGAACGAGAAGCCUGGGGCUUGCUCCAGGUGGAAAGUGGCGAACGGGUGCGUAACGCGUAGGCAACCUGCCCUCGAGUGGGGAAUAACCAUCGGAAACGGUGGCUAAUACCGCAUGACGUCUCGUUCUCGCAUGAGAACGAGAUCAAAGCUUUCGGGCGCUCGGGGAUGGGCCUGCGUCGGAUUAGUUUGUUGGUGAGGUAACGGCUCACCAAGGCUACGAUCCGUAGCUGGUCUGAGAGGAUGAUCAGCCACACUGGCACUGAGACACGGGCCAGACUCCUACGGGAGGCAGCAGUGAGGAAUAUUGCGCAAUGGGCGAAAGCCUGACGCAGCCACGCCGCGUGGAGGAAGACACCCCUAUGGGGCGUAAACUCCUUUUAUACGAGAAGAAAUCCCCGACAUGUCGGGGCCUGACGGUAUCGUAUGAAUAAGCACCGGCUAACUCCGUG